rnacentral:sRNA from 1 species
GCUGGGUACAGUAGCUUAUGCCUGUAAUCCCAGGUACUUGGGAGGCUGAGUCAGGAGGAAUGAAAGCUGGAGAUACCAGUUGAACAAUUUAGACUGUCUCAA